CUAAAUGCAUCUAAACACAACCACAGAAAAGGGGGAAAAUAUGCUGUGUACCAGCAGCCAUCAGGAAGUUUGCAGAUUUGUGGCCAGCGCUCUCAUUUCUUGGUGCAACGUCAACCAUGCAAAUACCAGGAUCAUCCAGGCACACGGCUGAAAGACGACCCGAACGCAGCGCUCCCUGUGCUGUGUGCGGAGCAGCCCCGCGGCUCGGAGCGGACUCGUUGCGGUGGGACCCGUCCGCCCUUCGGCCCCGCUCCCCUCUGGGGCCGAGCGGCGUGCGGCCAACAGCCAGAGCCGUUCGCAACCCGCUGCCGUCAGCUCGCGGCUCCGCGCGGCCGUCUCGUUGCGCUGAUUGAUACGCGGGGGGCCGGGGCCGCUUCCUCCUCCCGCCGUCCUUUUCCUCCCGCCUCGCUCCCGCAAGGAGCCGGCUCGGAGCAGGGGGCGACGCCCGCGAAGCCGCGACCCCCCCCGGCCCGGCCGGGCCCGUCGCUCAGCGUUCAGCCCCCGCCGCUCACGGCCGCGCACCGCAGUUUCCUCGGCGGCGGCGGGGCGGAGCGCCGGCCGCGCUCGCUCCGGGCACGGACCCCUUCCUACGGGCACCGCUCACCGUGUGACCGCCCGUCUCUCCCCGCCCGGCGGCAGCGCCGCGUCCCCCGCAGCCCGGAGCGGGAGCGGCCGGUACGGAGAUGGAGGCGGCGAGGCCGGGGGCCGCCCGCGCACAAAGCACGCACCGCACCACGCGUCCGUGCGUUUUGUAAAAACGUUUAUUUAAAUCUUUUUUUUUUUUUUUCUUUUACGUUGAUUUUUUUUUUUUUUUUUUUGGAAUUUUUCCUUUUACAACAACAAAAUAUUGCGUCGGUAGAAACCCCUCCGCCCGAGCCCGGCCAGCACCACCCGUACAGCGACUGCCCCGUGUGCGGCCCCGCACCGCUGGGCCCUCUGCUGCCUUCGGCUUUGGGUUCUAUUUUUUUUUUUUUUUUUUGUUAUUUUUUUGUUUUUCUUUCUGAAACUUUUUUUUUUUUUCUUUAAACAUAAUGCGGAAUUUAUUGAAAAUAAAUAAUUGUUGGCAACUGCA
rnacentral:lncRNA from 1 species